UUCCUUCUAGGAGUCUCACAAAGAAACAUAUCCUCAACAGAUGUCUUUCUGCUUUCUGGCUCCAAGGCAAGAACAGUCUGUGUUGGUGCACUUUGGAAAAGCUGUAUCCAUAGAGCAACUGCAUUAGUAUAUAAAGGCAAAGAAAUCCUGCCUGUCAUUGGAAAGGGGUCCUGGAGAAUCUAGAGAAGAAAGUUCUGCUUGAAAUUGAGAAAAAUCUGAGUCAAAUUCUGAUUCCACGAUUUACCCUCUGUGCUGAGACUAUAAGAACAAACAACCAAAAAAAAAAAAAAAAAAAAAAAAAAACUGGACUGGACAAGGGCCUAGGGAGAUGAUUCAGUCAGUCAAGUGCUUGUCGUGCACAGUAAUACGGAGACCU
rnacentral:lncRNA from 1 species